UUUUUUUUUUUUUUUCCCCAAAACGUAGGAUAAAAUUACAUUUUCAGUGAAAAACUCUAAAUGAUAAAAAAUAAAAUAGAAUGCGAAAGAAACGGAACGCCUAUAAUCCUCAUCCCAGCAGCAUAAAACGCACUCGCUGCGUUCGGUAUGUGCACCAGAGGUACCCGUUGUGUGCCUCACGAAGUUCUGUAGGACCGUGGGAGAAGGCUGCCAGGUUGCAGCAAAGGGCCCUGAGCUCUGCAAUUAGCACCGCGAGGUGUCACAGCCGCUGUUUGCAAAACAUCCUCAGGAGCCCCCAACCGCCUGGAGCCUUUUGGAGCUGACUGUUGGCAUCAGGAGAGACAUCUGGCAUUCAGUGCUGUGUUUACACCCUCUUGACCAGAGCGUGCUGCCUUUUCUGCCUGCGCACAACCCCAGCGAGCUGUGCUAGCAGACUUGCACAUUUGCAGAUGGGAAUGUUUGGCCCCGGUAGGACUUCCAGCACAGCCUGGGCAGUGACACCGUGUUCCCAGCAGCACUGAGCUCAGAGCGCAGCCAGCACCAGGGUUCCCAAUGCCCACUCCGUGCUGCCCAGGCAGGGUGGGAGAUGCCCUGCUCCCGGCACUGGGCUGUCCUCCUCCUGCAGCCACAGAGCAUCACUGGCAGUGGGAACUGGAUGGUGUGAUAACCUGAAAUGCUGCUGUAGAGUCUGGAACCCACUCCUUUUUUCUUUCCUUCCCCCUCCCCCAAUCAACAUGCAUGUUGAAUACAUCAAGUAAGAGGUCAACACUGUAGGAUAAUCAGUCCCUUUGGGACCUACAGUCCCACUGUAGGAUAAUCAGAACUUUGCUGAAAUAAUCUGGUGCUGGUAGGGGCACUCUUCUGCCUUGGUUUGUCUUGUGAUUCAGAGAGAAACAGAAAAAUCAUAGAAUUAUGGAGUGACUCGGGUUGGAGAGGGCUUCAAAACCCACCCAGCCCUGUCAUGUCAGGGCUGCCACUCCCCUGCUCAGCUGCCCAGGGCCCAUCCAACCUGGCCUUGAGCACCUCCACGGAUGGGGCACCCACAGCUUCUCUGCGCAGCUGUGCCAGCGCCUCACUGCCCCCUGACAAAUGAUUCCCCCCCCUAACAUCUGUCCUAAAUCUCUCCUCUUUUAGUUUAAAGCCAUUCCCCUUCCUCUUACCACUAUCUACCCAUGUAGAAAGUUGCUUUCCCUCCUGCUUAUACAUUACCUUCAAGCACUAACACUGUUUUGUAAUAUAGCUUCACCAAGAAGCCUUACUACUCUGUGAGGAGAGUUUUCCUCACGCCCGGAGGGCACCCCCUGCCCACUGCCACAAAAGUUAGGUGCAGAAAGCCUGCAGAAAAGAGCUGCCAGCACGAAGACAGGCUGAUCAACCCAUAGGCCUGAGGGCUGAGGGCUGGCCUUUCUCCUUGCUUUCAGCCCGUGCUUCAGGAACUUUGUGAAAUUGAACUUUGUGAAAUUCCGACCUGUUCAGAACAGAGCAAUGGGAUUGGAUUGGCUCCUUUUGGAGAGCAGUUUGGGAUCACUCCACACCAACACCAGGCUAUGGAAAUGCAGUUCUGGGCUCUCUGGGUAUGUCUGGGCUUGGACAGUCAUCCACACUCCCAACAGGCUAUAAAAGGGACGUACCUUUCAUACUGUUUACACUGAUCAGGAAGUUUCUUGUGGUAAUUGCACUAUAAUGCUGCCCCCGAUGUUUCUGCCAUGUUUUGAACAUCAUCAUCUCCAAAAGACUUUUUUCCCCCCCCCGUGCAUACCUUCAUUCUCUUUCUAUACAUUUGCUAUUUUAUCUGCAUCAUCCUGUUUUACUGCUGCGGAAGAUAUCCAGGCUAACAGCUCUUCUUUCAUUUCAUACCGAAUGGCAUAAUUAAGACUUAAUUAGAAGCAUAUGAAUAAGGAAAUGGCAUGCCACCCAGGACCUUACAUGUAAUACCAUUCAAUUGCUCAAGUACAGCACUCUCCUGAAAAAAAAAGAAAAAGAAAAAGAAAAAAUCCUAUACC
ensembl:lncRNA